rnacentral:lncRNA from 1 species
CCUUCUUCUCUACAAGAAAAAAAGAAUUAGCUGUGCAUAGUGGCACAUCCCUGUGAUCCCAGAUACUCAGGAGGCUGAGGUGGGAGAAUCGCUUGAGCCUGGGAGGUUGAGGCUGCAGUGAGUUGUGACUGAAUCAUGCUACUGCACUCCAGCCUGGGCAACAGAGCAAGACUCUGUCUCAAAAAAAAUAAAUGCUUUGGCCCCAAGGUGUCCCACAGCCCACUGGUCAGAACUGGUCACACUGCCUUGCUACCCAACAAGGGCACAUGCUGGGCAGUCAGUGUCUCCCAUAGCAAAGGUGUGUGUUAGAAUUCAUCUGGAGCUUGGUUGUUUGAGCCAGACUGGUCCCUGAGGGAAAUGGGCAUUUCUUCUUUAUAUGUUAAAUAGACACAUCAUAUCAUUGGUUAAUAGGUCUAGGGAACAAAGACCUGAGAAAAGUAGACAGAGCAUUGCUUUGGGGAGAAAAACUACCAUUAAGAAAGGGUAGACUGGGUAGGCUGGCUUGGUAGUACUCUGUAUCUGGUAGCUAAGGAUAUGUGAGUACACGCGUGUUUCCCAGCAUGGGGUCCAGCGAGUGGCAUGGUCAAUGGUUAUCAUAUGGUGACUGUGACUAACACGGCAGAGGGCUUGCUGCACAGGGAGGAAGAGCGGCUCCUCCCUGCCACCUGGCCCCUGGAAGCAGAGUAGAUGAGAACCUCAUUCACGCAGAGUCA